rnacentral:rRNA from 1 species
GUGCCAGCCGCCGCGGUAAUACGAAGGGUGCAAGCGUUAAUCGGAAUUACUGGGCGUAAAGCGCGCGUAGGUGGUUCAGUAAGUUGGAUGUGAAAUCCCCGGGCUCAACCUGGGAACUGCAUCCAAAACUGCUGAGCUAGAGUACGGUAGAGGGUAGUGGAAUUUCCUGUGUAGCGGUGAAAUGCGUAGAUAUAGGAAGGAACACCAGUGGCGAAGGCGACUACCUGGACUGAUACUGACACUGAGGUGCGAAAGCGUGGGGAGCAAACAGGAUUAGAAACCCUAGUAGUCC